UUUUUUUUUUUUUGCAGAUUUGGAAAAGUCAGUAGCAUAAAGGAAUUGCAAGGGACCCUGAAUAGCCAAAACAAUCGUGAAAAAGAAGAAAAACAACACCCUCAGCAACCUGUCCUGCUGGAAAAUUAUAUUUUCUUCCAUUGCGGCAAAAUGUGGCUAUGAGACCACAGGAGAAAACAAAGGGAAGUGUGCACAAUUUCUAGGAAACCUGCUGAGAAGGAAGGGGGGAGAACAGAGGGAGAAUUUAGAAGAUCUUAGAGGAUGUGACCAUCAAGUCAAAGAUUGGCAUCAUGCGGCCACAAGCCAAGAAAAUGCUGACAGCCCACCACCAGGAGCUGGAAGAAGCAAGGAGCAGAUUCUCCACUCGUUCCUUCAGAGGAAUGCAGCCCUGCCAACACUUUGAUUUGAGCCUGGUGAUCCUGAUUUUGGACUUCUGGCCUUCAGAAUUGGAGGGGUGAUGUAAUUGUCUAUAAGGAAUGAUGGUGAGAAGAACCUAUUUCCUUGAGAUGAGUUUUCCUCAGGAAAUAAGUUUGUCAUAUGAGGGUAGGAUGGGGAAGGAAAGAAGAGGGGUUCUGAAUCAAUUUUAUAGGGGGAGGAAUUUCUCGCCUUGGAGGAGUGCUAUAAGUUUCAAAGCAAAAAGAAUAGUUUCUGCUUUCUUUUGGGUUUUAGUCAGGGGUUAGGGCACGUUUGGAACAGGGCAUACAUAGCAGGUUGCAAAAAUACUUUACUCUUAACCAAGGCACCAAUGAUGGCCAUUUCACUGAAUCACAUAUGGAUUUCUUUGUCACCUCAGCACCAUCCCAUGCCACAGAGCACAUCUUUUCUGAAACAGUUUUUGUUUUUGUUUUUCCCGCCUGCUGUAACACUACACUCAUACGGUUUUCCCUCCAGAUUCCAGGACUGCUUUUUUAUUUAUUUUGCCUUUUGCCUUUUUGUUGGCCCUUCUCUAUCCUUGACCUUUGUAUUGUUCUCCAGAGCUUGGUCCUCAGCUCUCCUCUCUCUUCACUCCUUCCCGGCUCUUAAGGCUCUAAAUACUACCUGUGUUUCAACAACUCCCAAGUGUGUCUCCAGUCCAUAAUCCCUUUCCUGAACUACAGACUAACAGCAUACCUUGAUCUUUCCCUGAAAUCGGCUGUUCCUUCAGAAUUCCCAUUAUCAACAAAAUGCCACUACCAUCCAUCAAAUGCUAAAGCCAGGAACCUAAAGCUUCCUCCUUCAGCUUCUGGUCCAUCACCAAGUCCUGAUUUUCUGCCUCCCACAUACCUCUCCGUUCUCUCUGUUUCUUCCACUAGCUCUCUCAACUCAUAAUCACGUGACGAUGCUCCUGCAAGAGCUUCUUGGUUGGCCCUGCUUCUCUUCUUGCCCCUACCAGCCAUUCUCCAUUCAGUUGUCCAGAUAUUCUUUUAAGGAUCUUAGAUCUGGGAUAUCAUCAGGGCUUCCCCUUGCAGUUCCUUAUGGCUCCUGCCUACCUCUCAGCCUCAUCUCCCCACUCUUUUGGUCUACAACACUCCAGCCACUCUUAGCCUUUUUUCAGUUAUUUUUUCCCACCUCUGGGCUUUUUCAUAUGCUACUCGGUUUGUCUAGAAUGUCCUUCCCUCCACCACUGCCUGUCUGACUCCUACUCCCAUCCUCCGUUUCUCAGCAUAAAAGUCAUCAUCUUAGAGAAGUUUUCCUGAUGCCCCUUCAAUAUAAAUGAGAUUUCCUCUUUUAAUCUUCUAUUUUUUUUUAGAUUU